rnacentral:rRNA from 1 species
UACGGAGGGAGCUAGCGUUGUUCGGAAUUACUGGGCGUAAAGCGCACGUAGGCGGCGAUUCAAGUCAGAGGUGAAAGCCCGGGGCUCAACCCCGGAACUGCCUUUGAAACUAGAUUGCUAGAAUCCUGGAGAGGUGAGUGGAAUUCCGAGUGUAGAGGUGAAAUUCGUAGAUAUCUGGAGGAACACCGGUGGCGAAGGCGGCAUCCUGGACCGGUAUUGACGCUGAGGCGCGAAAGCCAGGGGAGCAAACGGG